GACGAACGCUGGCGGCGUGCUUAACACAUGCAAGUCGAACGAAGAGCGAUGGAAGCUUGCUUCUAUCAAUCUUAGUGGCGAACGGGUGAGUAACGCGUAAUCAACCUGCCCUUCAGAGGGGGACAACAGUUGGAAACGACUGCUAAUACCGCAUACGAUCUAAUCUCGGCAUCGAGGAUAGAUGAAAGGUGGCCUCUACAUGUAAGCUAUCACUGAAGGAGGGGAUUGCGUCUGAUUAGCUAGUUGGAGGGGUAACGGCCCACCAAGGCGAUGAUCAGUAGCCGGUCUGAGAGGAUGAACGGCCACAUUGGGACUGAGUCACGGCCCAGACUCCUACGGGAGGCAGCAGUGGGGAAUCUUCCGCAAUAGACGAAAGUCUGACGGAGCAACGCCGCGUGAGUGAUGACGGCCUUCGGGUUGUAAAGCUCUGUUAAUCGGGACGAAAGGCCUUCUUGCGAAUAGUGAGAAGGAUUGACGGUACCGGAAUAGAAAGCCACGGCUAACUACGUG
rnacentral:rRNA from 1 species